rnacentral:pre_miRNA from 1 species
UGGUGUUCUGGUGAGUGGCAGUGUAGUUAGCUGGUUGUGGGUUAAUUGCAUCGACGACAACCACUAUCUGCACCGCCCACACAUCGGCAUCGC